rnacentral:rRNA from 1 species
AGUGAACGCUGGCGGUAGGCCUAACACAUGCAAGUCGAACGGCCGCACAGUAAGAGCUUGCUCUUACGGGUGGCGAGUGGCGGACGGGUGAGGAAUACAUCGGAAUCUACUUUUUCGUGGGGGAUAACGUAGGGACACUUACGCUAAUACCGCAUACGACCUACGGGUGAAAGCAGGGGAUCUUCGGACCUUGCGCGAUUGAAUGAGCCGAUGUCGGAUUAGCUAGUUGGCGGGGUAAAGGCCCACCAAGGCGACGAUCCGUAGCUGGUCUGAGAGGAUGAUCAGCCACACUGGAACUGAGACACGGUCCAGACUCCUACGGGAGGCAGCAGUGGGGAAUAUUGGACAAUGGGCGCAAGCCUGAUCCAGCCAUACCGCGUGGGUGAAGAAGGCCUUCGGGUUGUAAAGCCCUUUUGUUGGGAAAGAAAAGCAGCAGGUUAAUACCCCGCUGCUCUGACGGUACCCAAAGAAUAAGCACCGGCUAACUUCGUG